GGGAAAGGCUCUGUGAGUGACCCAGAACGGAAAGACUCCAGUCUGGGUCCUAAUGCGGGUGGCGUCUCCUUUGACAGGCAACGUUUGGGGACAACAGCGGAGACAAGAGAUAAGGAAUUAUCCGAAGGUAACAAAGUCGGAGAAUUCGAUGCGACUUGCACGUAUCUGUUUGGAAGAAAGUGGUGAGAUCUAGGCUCCUCCGCCACUAGGAGAAAAUUGAAGAAGGGGAGCAACUUCAAAGUCAGGGAACCGGAGCCUUCUUGGUCACCCUCUGCCUCAGCCUUUAAAUCCGACAGCCUUUGGUUGGAGUCCCAGUCCCAGGAGAAGAAAGUUCACCGGAUACAGGGGACUGUGAGACAGGAGAAUCUUAAGAAAGAUGGCUCAAUUCCUGUUUGAUC
rnacentral:lncRNA from 1 species